UGCCAGCAGCCGCGGUAACACGGGGGGCGCAAGCGUUAUUCGGAAUUAUUGGGCGUAAAGGGCGCGUAGGCGGCCAGGUAAGUCAGAUGUGAAAUUCCGGGGCUCAACCCCGGAGCUGCAUUUGAAACUGCCUGGCUAGAGUAUAGUUAGGGAAAACGGAAUUCCACGUGUAGUGGUGAAAUGCGUAGAUAUGUGGAAGAACACCGGUGGUGAAGACGGUUUUCUGGGCUAAAACUGACGCUGAGAUGCAAAAGCGUGGGGAGCAAACAGGAUUAGAUA
rnacentral:rRNA from 1 species